rnacentral:rRNA from 1 species
CAGCCGCCGCGGUAAUACCGGCGGCCCGAGUGGCGGUCACUCUUAUUGGGCUUAAAACGUCCGUAGCCGGGUUGGGAAGUCCUCCGGGAAAUCUGGCCGCUUAACGGUCAGAAUGCCGGAGGAUACUCCCAGCCUAGGGAGCGGGAGAGGCCGAGGGGAUUCCCGGAGUAGGGGGGAAAUCCUAUAAUCCCGGGAGGACCACCUGUGGCGAAGGCGCUCGGCUGGAACGCGUCCGACGGUGAGGGACGAAGGCCAGGGGAGCAAACCGGAUUAGAUACCCGGGUAGUCCUGGCUGUAAACGAUGCGGACUUUGUGUCGGACAAGCUAUGAGCUUGUCCGGUGCCGGAGGGAAACCGUUAAGUCCGCCGCCUGGGGAGUACGGCCGCAAGGCUGAAACUUAAAGGAAUUGGCGGG